UCGAGAAUCUUUCGCAAUGCCCGAGAGGGUGACGAAGCGACGCCGCGUGCGGGAGGAAGGCCUUCGGGUUGUAAACCGCUGUCGGGAGUUAAGAAAUGCAAGGAUGUUAAUAGCGUUCUUGCUUGACUAAGGCUCCGGAGGAAGCCACGGCUAACUCUGUGCCAGCAGCCGCGGUAAUACAGAGGCGGCAAGCGUUGUUCGGAAUUAUUGGGCGUAAAGAGCACGUAGGCGGCUGUGUAAGUCGGUUGUGAAAGCCUUCCGCUCAACGGAAGAACGGCAUCCGAUACUGCAUGGCUUGAGUGUGGGAGGGGAGAGUGGAACUUCUGGUGGAGCGGUGAAAUGCGUAGAUAUCAGAAGGAACACCGGCGGCGAAGGCGACUCUCUGGUCCAUAACUGACGCUGAGUGUGCGAAAGCUAGGGGAGCAAACGGGAUUAGAUACCCCCGUAGUCCCUGAGCGGGCUGGCAAGGCGCAU
rnacentral:rRNA from 1 species